GACGAACGCUGGCGGCGUGGAUUAGGCAUGCAAGUCGAACGGUAGGAUACCUUCGGGUAUCUGAGAGUGGCGAACGGGUGAGUAACACGUAGGUGAUCUACCCUCAAGAUUGGGACAACCCAGGGAAACUUGGGCUAAUACCGGAUGAAAGCAGCAGUGAUGUUGUUUGAAAGGUGGCGUAAGCUGCCGUUUGGGGAUGAGCCUGCGCUCUAUUAGUUAGUUGGCGGGGUAAAGGCCCACCAAGGCGAUGAUAGAUAGGCGGCCUUAACGGGUGGUCGCCCACACUGGGAUUGAGAUACGGCCCAGACUCCUACGGGAGGCAGCAGUCGAGAAUAGUCUACAAUGGCCGAAAGGCUGAUAGUGCGACGCCGCGUGAACGAAGAAGCCCUUCGGGGUGUAAGUUCUUUUAUAUGUGAGCAGUGCUUUCUAUGUGAACAGCAUGGGGAGAGAGAUAUUAGCAUAUGAAUAAGCAACGGCUAACUCCGUGCCAGCAGCC
rnacentral:rRNA from 1 species